AACGCGCGUGUGCACGCAUGGUUGGCGUGCGUGUCACGUAUAGGCAUUAUCAGCAGCACAUAUGUACAGAGGCGACGGUGGCAGCCACACAUGGCAUGUCAUGAGCGACAAGCAGGAGGAGUGCACCUCACGAGCCUCCGCCUCGCCUACCCCAGAUGAAGGCGAUCGGGAGUCACGACGACUUGUGCGUGAACGCGAGCGUCAGGAGCGACUGAGAGGACGGCUGACAGAUCUCACGUUCGCUGACAUUUCGUGCUCUCGGGAUGGGAAAAUGGACUUUGUAAAGCAGAACGUCAUAGUCUGCAUUAAAGGAUCGAAGUCGCAGUUCAACGCCCGCAUAGGGCGAAUGAAGAACAUCCUACCGCCCCUCACCUGCGACUGCUGUCAGACGUUCUCGACGUUGUCCGCCGUGCUGCUGUCGUCCCUCGGCUUUGCCGCAAUGCUGAGCGAGUGCUGCUCCCUCUCCACGGUGAACUAUCUUCUGUACAUUUCAGCGUGGAUGCACCAGCUGACGCUGCCGUGCUGGCCGCAGAAGCGCGUGCGGCCCACCAUCGGCGAUCUCAACGCCUGCCUUUACCUCCGGGACUUUUUCCCCAGCAAGGCAAACGCAGACGAGUUCGAGGUCGUCUUCUAUAACCAAGCUCACAAGGCAGUGGAUCUGUUGCAUGCCAUGCGCACUCCCCGCAAGCGCACACGCUCUAGCGACGGCGCGCACCCGGUGUAUGGCUACGUGAUUGUAUCAGGAGACUACACCGUCUCCGUUUUCUCCGUGGAGCACGACAUCGCGAAGGGCUCGCGUAGCCGCUACCGCGAGGCGUGGAGCUUCUACAUCUGCGACUCCCACGGCACGCAGCCGUGGUCUGAGGACAAGGCCAGCGUGUCCGGACUGACCUUUGGUCACCGUUCGCACGACGUGGACGAUACAAAAGUGGAGGAGGAGGCCAGUAACGGAAGCGGCACUGCCAGCUCGGCGGCGGACCUCUCUGUGGAGGAUGGCAUUUACUACUUCUCCACCAUUCUGUUCACUCUUCUAGAAGAACACCGCAAAGGUGCGCAGCGCACGAGUCAGGUGCCGUACAUGACGUGGACCCCGCUGCGGCGGCGGCGAUCACUGGCGUACACGGCGCAGGAGCUCAAGAGGAUUAUCGACAACCAUUGGAUUCCCAAGGUGCUGUCGAAUCCCACGGUGCAGGCCGAGGCCAAGAAAUUCUCCUUCAAACCGCUGGAGUGUUUCUGGGGAAUUGGUCCCGUAACAGCAGCGAAAACUUCCCCAGUCUCAGGUGCGUCGCCUGCAUGACGCGAGAGAGAAUGAAAACAAGCAAGCAAAAGAGUGACUUACUCCAAAUUCACACACACAUACACACACACACACACACAACAAGCGGUAUUGCGGGAGGCGAUUGCGCAAGGACUGAGGCCAACAAACUGCAUCAGCCGCGAACACGCAUACACUCCCGUGUACGAUGCCUUGCUCUGCUGCACCUCAUAC
rnacentral:misc_RNA from 1 species